rnacentral:rRNA from 2 species
ACAACUUUCAACAACGGAUCUCUUGGUUCUGGCAUCGAUGAAGAACGCAGCGAAAUGCGAUAAGUAGUGUGAAUUGCAGAAUUCAGUGAAUCAUCGAAUCUUUGAACGCACAUUGCGCCCCUUGGUAUUCCAUGGGGCAUGCCUGUUCGAGCGUCAUUUGUACCCUCAAGCUCUGCUUGGUGUUGGGUGUUUGUUCCACUUGGGACUCGCCUUGAAACAAUUGGCAGCCGGCACAUUGGCCUGGAGCGCAGCACAUUUUGCGCCUCUUGUCAUGGUUGUUGGCAUCCAUCAAGACACUUUUUAAGCUCUUGACCUCGGAUCAGGUAGGGAUACCCGCUGAACUUAAGCAUAUCAAUAAGCGGAGGAAAAGAAACCAACAGGGAUUGCCCUAGUAACGGCGAGUGAAGCGGCAACAGCUCAAAUUUGAAAUCUGGCUCUUUUAGGGUCCGAGUUGUAAUUUGCAGAGGGCGCUUUGGCGUUGGCAGCGGUCCAAGUUCCUUGGAACAGGACGUCACAGAGGGUGAGAAUCCCGUACGUGGUCGCUGGCCUUCGCCGUGUAAAGCCCCUUCGACGAGUCGAGUUGUUUGGGAAUGCAGCUCUAAAUGGGAGGUAAAUUUCUUCUAAAGCUAAAUACUGGCCAGAGACCGAUAGCGCACAAGUAGAGUGAUCGAAAGAUGAAAAGCACUUUGGAAAGAGAGUCAAAUAGCACGUGAAAUUGUUGAAAGGGAAGCGCUUGCAGCCAGACUUGCCUGUAGUUGCUCAUCUGGGCUUUUGUCCAGUGCACUCUUCUACAGGCAGGCCAGCAUCAGUUUGGGCGGUUGGAUAAAGGUCUCUGUCACGUACCUCCCUUCGGGGAGGCCUUAUAGGGGAGACGACAUGCAACCAGCCUGGACUGAGGUCCGCGCAUCUGCUAGGAUGCUGGCGUAAUGGCUGUAAGCGGCCCGUCUUGAAACACGGACCAAGGAGUCUAACAUCUAUGCGAGUGUUUGGGUGUCAAGCCCGGACGCGUAAUGAAAGUGAACGGAGGUGGGAACCCUUUUAGGGUGCACCAUCGACCGAUCCUGAUGUCUUCGGAAGGAUUUGAGUAAGAGCAUGGCUGUUGGGACCCGAAAGAUGGUGAACUAUGCUUGAAUAGGGUGAAGCUAGAGGAAACUCUAGUAGAGGCUCGCAGCAGUUCUAACGUGCAAAUUAAUCGUUAAAUUUAGGCAUAGGGGCGAAAGACUAAUUAAACUAUCUAGUAGCUAGUUCCUACUAAAGUUUCCCUUAGGAUAGUAGUAACGUAUUUAGUUUUAUAAGGUAAAGCAAAUAAUUAGAGGCCUAGGGGUUAAAACAACCUUCACCUAUUCUUAAACUUUAAAUAUGUAAGAAGUCCUUGUUACUUGAUUGAACGUGGACACUUGAAUGUACCGUUACUAGUGGGCCAUUUUUGGUAAGCAGAACUGGCGAUGCAGGAUAAACUAAACACAGGGUUAAGGUGCUAGAAUGCACGCUUAUUAGACACUACAAAAGGUGUUAGUUUAUCUAGACAGCAGGACAGUAGCUAUAGAAGUUAGAAUCUGCUAAGGAGUGUGUAAUAACUCACCUGCUAAAUAAACUAGCCCUAAAAAUAGAUGGUGCUUAAGCGUGUUACCCAUACCCCGCCGCCAGGGCAAGAUUUAAGCCCUAGCGAGUAGGCAGGCGUAGAGGCUUAUAACAAAGCCUUAGGGGUAACCCUAGGUAGAACGGCCUCUAGUGCAGAUCUUAGUAGUAGUAGCAAAUACUUAAAUAAGAACUUUAAGGACUAAAGUAGGGAAAGGUUCUGUGUAAACAGCAGUUAGACACAGGUUAGUUAAUCCUAAGAGAUAGGGUAAUUCCAUUUUAAUGUUAGUGCUUACGCUGCGCCCUUAAAAGGGAAGCUAGUUAAUAUUCUAGCACCUAGAUAUAGAUUCUCCGCGGCAACGCAACUAAGAGCGGAGACCUUAGCGGGAGCCCUAAGAAGAGUUCUCUUUUCUUCUUAACAGUCUGUUACCCUAAAAUUAGUUUAUCUAGAGCUAGGGUUCAAUAGCUAGAAGAGCGCUGCACUUUUGCAGCAUUUAGUGCGCUCCUAACAAGCCUUAAAAAUCUACUUAAAGAAAUAGUUUUUACGCCAGGUUGUACUUAUAACUGUAGCAGGUCUCUAAGGUAAAAAGCCUCUAGUUAAUAGAAUAAUGUAGAUAAGGGAAGUCAGCAAAAUAGAUCCAUAACUUUAGAAAAAGGAUUAGCUCUAAGGGUUAGGUACGUUAGGCCUUAGGGAGAAGCCUCUAGCGCAGAAGGGCACUAACCGCAAGGUAGGCGCCUCUUAGCGCUAGGGUGCAGACACCCUUAGUAGGUUUUGGCUGUCUAGCGUACGUUUAAUAACUAACUUAGAACUAGUAUAGAUAAGGGGAAUCUAACUAUCUAAUUAAAAUAUAGCAUUGCAAUAGCUAGAAAGUAGUGUUAACAUAAUGUGAUUUCUGCCUAGUACUCUAAAUAUCAAAGCAAA